GCGGAUGUGGUGAAAUUGGCAGACACGCCAGAUUUAGGAUCUGGUGCUUCGUGCGUGCAGGUUCAAGUCCUGUCAGGCGCACCA
rnacentral:tRNA from 1 species